GUUGAUGGUGUGUCUUUAUCAUAUUCAUCUCUACCAAAUGAAGGUUUUGUAAAAAUUACAACUGACAGUGGGAUCAAGAAUGUUUGUUCGCAAAGUUUAGGAAACGCAAAGGAUGUUGUUUGUCAUCAAUUGGGUUACAAACAAGCAGACUCACUGGUUGAAAAGGCCGUUCCAUUGGAUUUAAAAGAUGAAAUAUUUUCUGGAAGUAUAGCGUGUAGUGAUGGUGAUACAAAAUUAUCCCAAUGUUCGGUUACUACUUCUCCACAAAGUCAGUGUUCGACACUCUCGUACUUAAAAUGUAGGUUUUUUACAAAAAGGAUGACGUGCAUGUGACUUAGGUUAUGGAAUUCAGAAAAGAAAGAAUGAAAGAGAUAAAAACAAUGUUCGUAAGACUUAAUUUUCAUUUUCAGGUCAUAUUUGUCAACGG